rnacentral:rRNA from 1 species
GACGAACGCUGACGGCGUGCUUAACACAUGCCAGUCGAAGGGAGUGGCGAACGUGUGAGUAACACGUGAGUAACCUGCCCUUUUCUUUGGGAUAAGCCUGGGAAACUGGGUCUAAUACUGGAUGGAUUGGGAUGGGCUCGCGGCUUAUAAGCUUGGUGGUGGGGUGAUGGCUUACCAAGGCUUUGACGGGUAGCCGGCCUGAGAGGGGGGGCGGUCACACUGAGACUGAGAUACGGCACAGACUCCUACGGGAGGCAGCAGUGGGGGAUAUGGCACAAUGGACGAAAGUCUGAUGCAGCGACGUCGUGUGGCGGAUGAAGGCCUUCGGGUUGUAAACUCCUUUCGCCCGAGGUAUGGUACUGGGUAAAGAAGCGCCGGCUAACUACGUGCCAGCAGCCGCGGUAAUUC